UUCGUCCAUAUAUCACACUAGGGUUUGCUUAUAAAUAGCACUGAAUCCUCUUCUUUCCUUUCCCAGUCUCCGCGGCCCUACGAAACUUUGCAUUGGAACGAGUUUAGAGAUAACCCGAAAGCGGCUGUUACGGUGAAACGCCACCAUGAGAGCUAAAUGGAAGAAGAAGCGCAUGAGGAGGUUGAAGAGGAAACGCCGAAAGAUGAGGCAGCGGUCCAAAUAACAAUCUCGGGCCUUGGCAACGGCAAUUUCUUCUUCUUUCGGUGUCGUCAACUUUUCUUUUCUCGGUUUUAGUAUUACGUUGUUAGGUUUCGCUCGUUGUUUAGUGUUUCUGAUACAGUUGAUAUUUGGAUUUGUGGCGGAUUCUCUGAUUUGGCAUGAAUGAAUUUCGAAUUAUCGCUAA